UAGAGUUUGAUCAUGGCUCAGAACGAACGCUGGCGGCAGGCCUAACACAUGCAAGUCGAACGCCCCGCAAGGGGAGUGGCAGACGGGUGAGUAACGCGUGGGAACCUACCUAGAGGUGCGGAAUAGCCCAGGGAAACUUGGAGUAAUACCGCUAUCCCGCAGGGGAAAGAUUUAUCCUUUAAGACUUC
rnacentral:rRNA from 1 species